rnacentral:rRNA from 1 species
UGAGGAAUAUUGGUCAAUGGGCGAGAGCCUGAACCAGCCAAGUAGCGUGCAGGAUGACGGCCCUAUGGGUUGUAAACUGCUUUUAUAAGGGAAUAAAGUGAGAGUCGUGACUCUUUUUGCAUGUACCUUAUGAAUAAGGACCGGCUAAUUCCGUGCCAGCAGCCGCGGUAAUACGGAAGGUCCGGGCGUUAUCCGGAUUUAUUGGGUUUAAAGGGAGCGUAGGCCGGAGAUUAAGCGUGUUGUGAAAUGUAGACGCUCAACGUCUGCACUGCAGCGCGAACUGGUUUCCUUGAGUACGCACAAAGUGGGCGGAAUUCGUGGUGUAGCGGUGAAAUGCUUAGAUAUCACGAAGAACUCCGAUUGCGAAGGCAGCUCACUGGAGCGCAACUGACGCUGAAGCUCGAAAGUGCGGGUAUCGAACAGGAUUAGAUACCCUGGUAGUCCGCACGGUAAACGAUGGAUGCCCGCUGUUGGUCUGAACAGGUCAGCGGCCAAGCGAAAGCAUUAAGCAUCCCACCUGGGGAGUACGCCGGCAACGGUGAAACUCAAAGGAAUUGACGGGGGCCCGCACAAGCGGAGGAACAUGUGGUUUAAUUCGAUGAUACGCGAGGAACCUUACCCGGGCUUGAAUUGCAGAGGAAGGAUUUGGAGACAAUGACGCCCUUCGGGGCCUCUGUGAAGGUGCUGCAUGGUUGUCGUCAGCUCGUGCCGUGAGGUGUCGGCUUAAGUGCCAUAACGAGCGCAACCCCUCUCCUUAGUUGCCAUCAGGUCAUGCUGGGCACUCUGGGGACACUGCCACCGUAAGGUGUGAGGAAGGUGGGGAUGACGUCAAAUCAGCACGGCCCUUACGUCCGGGGCUACACACGUGUUACAAUGGCAGGUACAGAGAGACGGUCCCUUGCAAAAGGGAUCAAAUCCUCAAAGCCUGUCUCAGUUCGGACUGGGGUCUGCAACCCGACCCCACGAAGCUGGAUUCGCUAGUAAUCGCGCAUCAGCCAUGGCGCGGUGAAUACGUUCCC